ACAUUUCGGUUUUCAUCUAUGAGUGACAUUAACAGGGUUGUUGACUGCCAGCGCUAUUUUCUUUCAAAAUUUGUGAAAAUUCGUUCCGAAUCGGGGUAAACUGUGCAUAUUCUCAAAGCUGAGUUUUCGACCGUCACGUCGGUACUAAAUUCGCAAACGGAGCGAUGUUUUUUGUGGGUAAAUUUUUAUUUUGAAAAUUUUUCAGACAGUUUUUGGUUAUGGCGUCAGUGAGCCGGCAAAAUGCGCAGCCAAAUUGCGCCUCGAUUCUUCCAAUUCAAUGCGCUCCUCGGCCAGUAAUAGAUUGUGAUUGUGAAGUAUUUUUGCAUAAACGAGAGUUUGGUGUUAGUUUUAAUCGCUGGACAAUUCAUCGACUUCGCCAUUGGACAAUCAACCAACUACGAUGAGAUGCUGCUAAACGUUUCGAGCCUUACUUCGGUGGCGCUAUGCAGUAUUGGGUGCUUUGGAUGCCGCAAAGUGACGAUCAACUGUUAAGCAAUCAGUCCACUAGAAGACGGAAAUGCUACUAGCCGAAACGUUGUUAUAAAAAUUGUGUAAUACAGUGAAUGAAUGAAGAAGUUAUUUAAAAA